CAAGACGUAGCUUUAAACGAAAGCACUCAGCUUACGCCUGAAAGAUAUCCGACAACUCCGGAUCGUCUUGA
rnacentral:tRNA from 1 species